CAAAAACUGUGAUAAUUCUUUUUCAGUGAAAUUGUUUUUCAUGUCCACUCCCACCCAUCUAGAAAGCGUAAAUCAUCCUUGAGAACUUGAACCACGUACAAGAGAGUGUCCUUUACGUCCUAAAGCCAGUAAAAGCAAGAAGUUCUUUCACGAAUCAAGACUACAAAUCAAAGAGAUGUUUGACAGUCCUCCAAACAACUAACUGUCCACAAACACAGCCAGAUGGUGUGAUGGUGAUGGUCCCUUUCUGCCUUCAACUGUCCUUCAUAUAAUGAGGUGGAUGGAUAACGAGAACAAGAUAAAAUGGACCCAAUUCAACCUUAUGCUUUACAUUUCCAUGUGUUGGAAACCUGAAUAGAGUAUAAUUAAACCAGGAGUUGGACUUUCAGGCCCUUGACACAUGCUCUGUUGUUGAUAAGUUGUGAUUCUCAAGAAUGCUUGAAUUGUACAUUUAAAAUGAAACGUGCAGUACUAAUUUUGGAAAAAGUGAAACUGCCUAAUUUAUGUGAUAAAAUGUUAGUGUUACUGUAAUAAUGUGUAUACACAUUACUUAAAUAAUGUGUAUACUGUUUUUGGGAAUUACUCAAUAUGCAUCCUAC
rnacentral:lncRNA from 1 species